CAACACUUCCAAAAAAGAAAGAGACACUGUUUUAAAUUCUCUUAUUAGGUACAAGACUUAUUACCAAACAUAAGGAGCCUAUCUACAUUUAUAUCCAUAUGUUCUUUCUUCUUGUAUGAAAACAGACCAAACAAGUUUUAAUGAACAUAAGAGAAAUAGGACUUUGAUAAUGAAAUUAUUUUGAUACGUCUAAGAACAUG
rnacentral:lncRNA from 1 species